rnacentral:piRNA from 1 species
UCCCAGACUCCUCAGACUCUAGCCGAGGUC